rnacentral:rRNA from 1 species
GACGAACGCUGGCGGCGUGCUUAACACAUGCAAGUCGAACGGAAAGGCCCUGCUUUUGUGGGGUGCUCGAGGGGCGAACGGGUGAGUAACACGGGAGUAACCUGCCCUUGACGGUGGGAUAACUGCAGGAAACUGGGGCUAAUACCGGAUAGGAGCUGCUGCUGCAUGGGGGGGGUUGGAAAGUUUCGGCGGUUGGGGAUGGACUCGCGGCUUAUCAGCUGGUUGGUUGGGUAGUGGCUUAGCAAGGCUUUGACGGGUAGCCGGCAUGGGAGGGUGACCGGCCACAUUGGGCCUGCGAUACGCCCCAGACUCCUACGGUAGGCAGCAGUGGGGAGUCUUGCACAAUGGGCGGACGCGUGAGGCAGCGGCCCCGCGUGUGGGAUGACGGCCUUCGGGGUGUAAACCGCUUUCGCCUGUGACGAAGCGUUAGUGACGGUACCGGGUAAAGAAGCACCGGCUAACUACGUG